UUGGAAAGAAAAAAUCGUAACAAGGUUUCCGUAGGUGAACCUGCGGAAGGAUCAUUACCGAGUGAGGGCCCUCUGGGUCCAACCUCCCACCCGUGUUUAUUUUACCUUGUUGCUUCGGCGGGCCCGCCUUAACUGGCCGCCGGGGGGCUUACGCCCCCGGGCCCGCGCCCGCCGAAGACACCCUCGAACUCUGUCUGAAGAUUGUAGUCUGAGUGAAAAUAUAAAUUAUUUAAAACUUUCAACAACGGAUCUCUUGGUUCCGGCAUCGAUGAAGAACGCAGCGAAAUGCGAUACGUAAUGUGAAUUGCAAAUUCAGUGAAUCAUCGAGUCUUUGAACGCACAUUGCGCCCCCUGGUAUUCCGGGGGGCAUGCCUGUCCGAGCGUCAUUUCUGCCCUCAAGCACGGCUUGUGUGUUGGGCCCCGUCCUCCGAUCCCGGGGGACGGGCCCGAAAGGCAGCGGCGGCACCGCGUCCGGUCCUCGAGCGUAUGGGGCUUUGUCACCCGCUCUGUAGGCCCGGCCGGCGCUUGCCGAUCAACCCAAAUUUUUAUCCAGGUUGACCUCGGAUCAGGUAGGGAUACCCGCUGAACUUAAGCAUAUCAAUAAGCGGAGGACAAGAAUCAACAGGGACGCCGAGUUAAGGUCAAUGCGACUGUUAGAGCGCAAAUUUGAUGCUGGUCCUACGCGAUCGGCAUUGGGAUUCUCAGGAUGCUUCAUGAACGGCCCUGAUUCUUGCCAUGGACUGAAUAUCAUAGAAGCUGAUGGCCCCUAUGGAAGGGAUGUCGCCCGAAUGUGACGAACUUCAAGAACCAGGUGUAGGUCAUACACUCCAGAUGGGGGAAGAUCGUCAAAUCGGUUAGGGCGAAGACUGAUCGCACCACUGGAGGAGUUCAGUGAAACCCUUCAGAAACCUUAAAAGCCGUGAAUUGUGAUAGGAACGUUGCGACAGAUCGCCGCGGGUCACCGGAUCGGCCAUGUAUUCCCCGGGAGGCACCUUGUUGGCGGCUUCAAGCCUCCAGGUAGCCCAGGGCUCUAUACCAGGUCAUGCACAACUAACGAGAGAGUCCCUCAACCUGGUAUGUCUAACACCUCUGACCCGCAUGGUUACAUACCAGGUCGUGCUACCUCGGAUGAAGAACAGUGGACUCAGUGCCAUUCCUCCAACUCCAGAUAAAAAGGAUUUGGCCGAAGGGAUUCCCAGGGACAGGACCUGGACGUAAUUCAGGGAUUGCAAUGGUUGAAAUCA
rnacentral:sRNA from 1 species